AUAUGCUACAACAUGAAUGAACUUUGAAAACAUUACACUAAGUGAAAGACGCUAUUCACAAAAGCCACAUAUUGCAUGAUUCUGUUUAUAUGGAAUUUUUAUGUCUAGAAUAGGCAAGACUGUAGAGGCAGAAAGUAGCUUAGCAGGUACCUUGAGCUGGCGAGGAGUGUUGGGGGAAAAUGGAGGGUAAUGGCUAAUGGAUGUGGGGUUUCUUUUUGGGGUGAUGAAAAUUUUCUACAGUUGUUUGUGUCGAUGGUUGCGUAACUGUGGAUAUGCUAAAAACCAUUGAACAGUAAAAUGGGUGAAUUGUAUAGUAUGGGAAUUAUAUUCUAAAGCUAUUAUUUUGUAAAAAGUUAAUAUGUUAAAGAAAACUCCAAAAUAACAGUCCAGUGUUUCUUCCCCCAGGAGCAUGCACCCAGUGCAUUCCCAAAACGAGUUUUCCUUCACAUCCCACUCCCCUUCAACAUCCCUUCCCCAAAUCACCAACUCUUACAAGUGUUCUCCUUUAAGGUUUGAGAUUUGAAGCUAGUGGAGGAACUUCUACUUUUUUACUUAAUGUUUUAUAUAUGUGUUACUGUUUGAAUUAAAAUAUAUGACAUGCAACUGAAAAUGAACUAAUCGUUUAUAUAUGUUUCUUGAUAGUCCUAAAUGUCCGUCUGUCUGCUGUCUAGUACCCACCUCCCCUCUACAGCUGCACUGCCUCUGCCUCAGUUCAGGCCUUUAGCUGUUGUCUUCUGAAUUAUUACCACAAAUACACCCGGAUCAGCCUCUGCAGGUUGGCUGUCUCCUCUGCCUGUUUUUACAAUGCUGGAAGCCCUUUUAAUGGUUAGGAUUAGACGGUUGACUACCAAAGCCAGUGGCUGGCUGAAUAAUAUUCCAUUGUGCGUACAGACCACAAUUUGUUUACCCAGCCUCCCGGUGAUGGACGUUCGGGCUGUUUCCACCUUUUGGCUAUUGUGACUAGUGCUGCCAUGAACAAUCAUACUAGGAUUUGAGCCCCUGUUGUCAACAAUUUUGGUAGGAACUGUACUGAAUUUGGGGCAGAGUCAUCUUUAUUAUAUUGAUCUUCCAAACCCAAAUAUAGUAUAAUUUUCUAUGUAUUCAGGUCUUUAAUAAAUGAUUUUUAAAAAAGACAUAAUUUUCUUCAUAAAGGUCUUGCCCAGAAAAUUCAUUCCAUAAAUAUGUAUUGAGUGCAAACUGUGUGCAGAUAACUGCUUCAGGCCCUGGAGAUUUUUUUAACGCAAGCUGCCAUACUUGGAUAUCUGCAAUAUAGACUUUUAAUUGCUAGAAAUACAAAGAGAAGGGUGUAAUGUUACUACAAACAGUGGAAAUUUGAUAACAGAAUGGCAUUUGUAGAAUGUGCGAAGGUUAUGGAAUGUGGAAAACUUCAGAAGCAUGAGAGAAUGCAGCAUGUCUGGGGACGCAAACAGGUUAGUCUUCAUCAGGAAGCAGUGGGAGGUGGACGCCACAGGUGGGGAUGUGCCCAGACCUUCCUGCAGGCGGGAAGGACUUAUUUCCUGGGCUCCUGGAAACGCUGCCAGGAAACAAACCUCAGCCGUCAGCUCUCAUUGGACAUCGACUUUGCUCAAGAAAGCCACCUCACUCAAGGUCACGUCCAUGGAGUAAGGUCUGACUGACCCAGGACAGACUGGAGGGGCCACCCAGCUCCGGAGCUCCCUGGGGUUGGGUGAGGGCCACCACACCUGCACCACUGCUCACCUGUCCCCUCCGCUCACUCCUGCUUCCUUCCUCCUCUUCCACAGGUAUUGAUCCAGGAGAAUUUCCUAAUGUCCUACCCACAUGCUGCCUCCAUCUAAGGGAAGCCACCCUACCUGUGACAGGUGAGCAGGGUGCAGAUCAUGAAGAUCAUUUUCACCCUGUUAAGGAGCUUGGUUAUUGGAUUCUUCAGGCGUCCGUGGAAAC